rnacentral:tRNA from 1 species
UAGCUCAGUGGUAGAGCGCUUGCCUAGCGAGCAUAAGGCCCUGGGUUCGGUCCCCAG